rnacentral:rRNA from 1 species
AUGAACGCUGGCGGCGUGCCUAAUACAUGCAAGUCGAGCGAACAGACGAGGAGCUUGCUCCUCUGACGUUAGCGGCGGACGGGUGAGUAACACGUGGAUAACCUACCUAUAAGACUGGGAUAACUUCGGGAAACCGGAGCUAAUACCGGAUAAUAUAUUGAACCGCCUGGUUCAAUAGUGAAAGACGGUUUUGCUGUCACUUAUAGAUGGAUCCGCGCCGCAUUAGCUAGUUGGUAAGGUAACGGCUUACCAAGGCAACGAUGCGUAGCCGACCUGAGAGGGUGAUCGGCCACACUGGAAGUGAGACACGCUCCAGACUCCUACGGGAGGCAGCAGUAGGGAAUCUUCCGCAAUGGGCGAAAGCCUGACGGAGCAACGCCGCGUGAGUGAUGAAGGUCUUCGGAUCGUAAAACUCUGUUAUUAGGGAAGAACAAAUGUGUAAGUAACUAUGCACGUCUUGACGGUACCUAAUCAGAAAGCCACGGCUAACUACGUG